rnacentral:hammerhead_ribozyme from 1 species
AUCUAAUUGAUGAGUCUCAAAUAGGACGAAAUGAACAUCUAGAU